GUCCCCGUCGUCUAGUGGUUAGGACACCGCCCUUUCACGGCGGCAACACGGGUUCGAAUCCCGUCGGGGAUGCCA
rnacentral:tRNA from 1 species